rnacentral:rRNA from 1 species
AAUCAACGCUGGCGGCGUGCCUAACACAUGCAAGUCGAACGAGAAAGUGACUUCGGUCACUGGACAGUGGCGUCCGGGUGAGUAACACGUGGGUAAUCUACCUUCGGGUGGGGAAUAACGUCUCGAAAGAGACGCUAAUACCGCAUAAUGCAGCGGCACCUUAUGGUGAAUAGUUGUUAAAGCGGGGGAGUCGCAAGACCUCGCGCCUGAAGAGGAGCCUGCGGCAGAUAGCUAGUUGGUGAGGUAAUGGCUCACCAAGGCUGCGAUCUGUAGCUGGUCUGAGAGGACGGCCAGCCACACUGGCACUGACACACGGGCCAGACUCCUACGGGAGGCAGCAGUGGGAAUUUUGGACAAUGGGGUAACCCUGAUCCAGCCAUGCCGC